rnacentral:rRNA from 1 species
AUUGAACGCUGGCGGCAUGCUUUACACAUGCAAGUCGAACGGUAACACGCGGCAAGUUGCUCACGAGUGUCGGACGGGUAAGUAAUGCAACCGAACGGGCCCAGUCGUUGUGGGUAACUACUCACAAGAGGAGCUAAUACCUCAUACCAUCUAUUAAUGAGAGCGGGGUACCUUAAUACUUCGCGCUAUUUUUGCUACCGAUGUCAGAUUAGGUAGUUGGUGGGGUAAAGGCUCACCAAGUCAACGAUACGUAGCGGGUCUGAGAGGACGACCAGCCACACUGGGACUGAGACACGGCCCAGACUCCUACGGGAGGCAGCAGUGGGGAAUCUUGGACAAUGGGCGAAAGCCUGAUGCAGCAAUGCCGCGUGAAGGAAGAAGGCCUUCGGGUUGUAAACUGCUUUUGUAAGGAAAGAAAAGGCUCUGGUUAAUACCCGGGGCUAAUGACGGUACCGUAAGAAUAAGCAACGGCUAACUACGUG